UUUUUUUUGUUUUUUUUUCCAGGAAAAAUGAAGGGUAAAUUUUGGGGUAUUACAGCUGCCCCUAUUCAAUCAACUGGAGACCUGGAAAGAAGAUGGCAGCUGCUUUCGUACUUUCGAGGUAUCAAGGGAUUGAAUACAAUAAAAGCCCAAAAAUUUGCACUGAAGUGAAGUGAAGUGACAAUGCCUAUCAGAAUCGGCAAAGAGGUGGCCUUGAAAGAAG
rnacentral:lncRNA from 1 species